rnacentral:rRNA from 1 species
AUUGAACGCUGGCGGCAUGCCUUACACAUGCAAGUCGAACGGCAGCACGGGAGCAAUCCUGGUGGCGAGUGGCGAACGGGUGAGUAAUGUAUCGGAACGUGCCCAGUCGUGGGGGAUAACGUAGCGAAAGCUACGCUAAUACCGCAUACGAUCUAUGGAUGAAAGCGGGGGACGGUAAGGCCUCGAGCGAUUGGAGCGGCCGAUAUCGGAUUAGGUAGUUGGUGGGGUAAAGGCCUACCAAGCCGACGAUCUGUAGCUGGUCUGAGAGGACGACCAGCCACACUGGGACUGAGACACGGCCCAGACUCCUACGGGAGGCAGCAGUGGGGAAUUUUGGACAAUGGGCGCAAGCCUGAUCCAGCAAUGCCGCGUGCAGGAUGAAGGCCUUCGGGUUGUAAACUGCUUUUGUACGGAGCGAAAAGGCUCUCUCUAAUACAGGGGGCUCAUGACGGUACCGUAAGAAUAAGCACCGGCUAACUACGUGCCAGCAGCCGCCGUAAUAC